rnacentral:lncRNA from 1 species
GGCGCUUUCCGGGUGGGACGUCGGGUCGUGUUCUGACAGCUAGCACUCCACUCUUGUUUGCUGCGUGCGUUCGUCGCUUGGCCCGCUUGCUGUUCUCGCAAAAGCGCGGGGCAGAGGAGAGAAAGAAGCCUCUCGUUCUCCGAGAGAGACGCAGAGGCCGCAGUCAGGGCCUGGAUAUACUCGGAGGCUCGGCUUCUCCUCUGGGUGCUCCUUGUUGCUUCCAGGGAAAGUUUAGUCUGGAUCUGAGGCCUCGUGGCGCUCUUCCUGGUUUUUCAAUUUUGGUGGAGAAAUAGAGUUUGUGGUGAAGUAAAUGGCACCGCUGGAAUCCAAACCCUAAUGAAGCAGAGUCUCUUCUUAACCACUGUCUAUACUAAAGGUAAUUUAAAACAGGUAGGACACUUGAGGUUUUACCUGAAUCUUCUUCCACUAGGGUGCAGACAACAGGAAAGCAACAACUCUGGUUUGGUCACCGUGGUGGUCUUGCCCGGCACAUGGUGGGAGUCCAGCCAGAGCUGAUGGCCUCCUCUUCCCUCCUGACUAUUCAUCUGCUUCCACUCCAGGAGCACCACAGGCAUCUCCCCUGAUGCAGGGUAAAUUGCAGAAGCCAUGGUACCAGCCCGCAUCCAUGACCCCACAGAUAUUCCCCUUCUCCAAGUGGACUGACCCAGGCCUUUUACAAACACAGAAGGAUCUUGUGCAAGAUGAAUUCUAGUACUAGCUACUAAAAGAUCUCUUCACACAAAAGGCAAUAUUCCUGAAUUUGUAUUGGUCCAGGCAUUCGAGAAUCAAGGUCAGAAACCUGUAUAGGUUUUUAAGGUUAUUUAUUUCCUUCUUCCCUUAGAACACACAGACACAGACACGCAUAUGUUGCUUUUGCAGUCAUUUUUAUUUUUUGUUUUUUUGCUUUUUAGGGCCGCACCCAUGGCAUAUGGAAGUGCCCAGGCUAGAGAUUGAAUUGGAGCUGCAGCUGCCGGCCUACGCCACAGACACAGCAACACGGGAUCCGAGCUGCAUCUGUGACCUACACCACAGCUCAUGGCAACGCCAGAUCCGUGACCCACUGCAUGUGGCCAGGGAUCGAACCCGAAACCUCAUGGUUCCUAGUCAGAUUCAUUUCCUCUGUGCCACAACGGGAACUCCAUAGUCAUUUUUUAAAAAAAUAGACUUAAAUGUUCUCAGUUGCAGGUAGUCGGUUAAGAUGCCUUCAAAAUGUGCUGCAUGUAGGUGCGAGUGGGUGGGGGUGAGUUGCAGUCUCAAGACCUAGCGCACUGUGGACCCGCUCAGGAGCCUGCUUCCAGAUCACAGGUUUGUGCAACAAGAGGGCUAAUGCCGACAUCUUCCUUUCUGGAGAAAUGGAAUGACUCAGAAUCCAGAUGUUUCGCCUAGCCCUGCAUUUGUAAUUAAGAGCUGACGGUGGCAGUUCCCAGGGAGUCUUUGAAUCAUCUCUUCUUAUAUUUGCUCUUUUUAGAACAAUCUAGGACAUGUCAG